GAGGGUAUAGCUCAGUGGUGGAGUGUGUGAGUAGCAUGCACGAAGUCCUGGGUUCACUUCCCAGUACUUCUG
rnacentral:tRNA from 1 species